GAUGAACGCUGGCGGCGUGCCUAAUACAUGCAAGUCGAGCGAACAGAUAAGGAGCUUGCUCCUUUGACGUUAGCGGCGGACGGGUGAGUAACACGUGGGUAACCUACCUAUAAGACUGGGAUAACUUCGGGAAACCGGAGCUAAUACCGGAUAACAUUUGGAACCGCAUGGUUCUAAAGUGAAAGAUGGUUUUGCUAUCACUUAUAGAUGGACCCGCGCCGUAUUAGCUAGUUGGUAAGGUAACGGCUUACCAAGGCAACGAUACGUAGCCGACCUGAGAGGGUGAUAGGCCACACUGGAACUGAGACACGGUCCAGACUCCUACGGGAGGCAGCAGUAGGGAAUCUUCCGCAAUGGGCGAAAGCCUGACGGAGCAACGCCGCGUGAGUGAUGAAGGGUUUCGGCUCGUAAAACUCUGUUAUUAGGGAAGAACAAAUGUGUAAGUAACUGUGCACGUCUUGACGGUACCUAAUCAGAAAGCCACGGCUAACUACGUG
rnacentral:rRNA from 1 species